CCCAUGCCGAACUCAGAAGUGAAACGCCGUAGCGCCGAUGGUAGUGUGGGGUCUCCCCAUGUGAGAGUAGGGAACUGCCAGGCAUCAAANCACUAUCGUUAACUGAAUACAUAGGUUAACGAGGCGAACCGGGGGAACUGAAACAUCUAAGUACCCCGAGGAAAAGAAAUCAACCGAGAUUCCCCCAGUAGCGGCGAGCGAACGGGGAGCAGCCCAGAGUCUGAAUCAGCUUGUGUGUUAGUGGAACGGUCUGGAAAGUCCGACGGUACAGGGUGAUAGUCCCGUACACCAAAAUGCACAGGUUGUGAACUCGAAGAGUAGGGCGGGACACGUGGUAUCCUGUCUGAAUAUGGGGGGACCAUCCUCCAAGGCUAAAUACUCCUGACUGACCGAUAGUGAACCAGUACCGUGAGGGAAAGGCGAAAAGAACCCCGGCGAGGGGAGUGAAAAAGAACCUGAAACCGUGUACGUACAAGCAGUGGGAGCACCUUCGGGUGUGACUGCGUACCUUUUGUAUAAUGGGUCAGCGACUUAUAUUCUGUAGCAAGGUUAACCGUAUAGGGGAGCCGCAGGGAAACCGAGUCUUAACUGGGCGUUAAGUUGCAGGGUAUAGACCCGAAACCCGGUGAUCUAGCCAUGGGCAGGUUGAAGGUUGGGUAACACUAACUGGAGGACCGAACCGACUAAUGUUGAAAAAUUAGCGGAUGACUUGUGGCUGGGGGUGAAAGGCCAAUCAAACCGGGAGAUAGCUGGUUCUCCCCGAAAGCUAUUUAGGUAGCGCCUCGUGAACUCAUCUUCGGGGGUAGAGCACUGUUUCGGCUAGGGGGUCAUCCCGACUUACCAACCCGAUGCAAACUACGAAUACCGAAGAAUGUUAUCACGGGAGACACACGGCGGGUGCUAACGUCCGUCGUGAAGAGGGAAACAACCCAGACCGCCAGCUAAGGUCCCAAAGUCAUGGUUAAGUGGGAAACGAUGUGGGAAGGCACAGACAGCCAGGAUGUUGGCUUAGAAGCAGCCAUCAUUUAAAGAAAGCGUAAUAGCUCACUGGUCGAGUCGGCCUGCGCGGAAGAUGUAACGGGGCUAAACCAUGCACCGAAGCUGCGGCAGCGACACUAUGUGUUGUUGGGUAGGGGAGCGUUCUGUAAGCCUGCGAAGGUGUGCUGUGAGGCAUGCUGGAGGUAUCAGAAGUGCGAAUGCUGACAUAAGUAACGAUAAAGCGGGUGAAAAGCCCGCUCGCCGGAAGACCAAGGGUUCCUGUCCAACGUUAAUCGGGGCAGGGUGAGUCGACCCCUAAGGCGAGGCCGAAAGGCGUAGUCGAUGGGAAACAGGUUAAUAUUCCUGUACUUGGUGUUACUGCGAAGGGGGGACGGAGAAGGCUAUGUUAGCCGGGCGACGGUUGUCCCGGUUUAAGCAUGUAGGCUGAUUGUCCAGGCAAAUCCGGAUAAUCAAGGCUGAGGUGUGAUGACGAGGCACUACGGUGCUGAAGUAACAAAUGCCCUGCUUCCAGGAAAAGCCUCUAAGCAUCAGGUAACAUCAAAUCGUACCCCAAACCGACACAGGUGGUCAGGUAGAGAAUACCAAGGCGCUUGAGAGAACUCGGGUGAAGGAACUAGGCAAAAUGGUGCCGUAACUUCGGGAGAAGGCACGCUGGUGUGUAGGUGAAGUCCCUGCGGAUGGAGCUGAGACCAGUCGAAGAUACCAGCUGGCUGCAACUGUUUAUUAAAAACACAGCACUGUGCAAACACGAAAGUGGACGUAUACGGUGUGACGCCUGCCCGGUGCCGGAAGGUUAAUUGAUGGGGUUAUCCGUAAGGAGAAGCUCUUGAUCGAAGCCCCGGUAAACGGCGGCCGUAACUAUAACGGUCCUAAGGUAGCGAAAUUCCUUGUCGGGUAAGUUCCGACCUGCACGAAUGGCGUAAUGAUGGCCAGGCUGUCUCCACCCGAGACUCAGUGAAAUUGAACUCGCUGUGAAGAUGCAGUGUACCCGCGGCAAGACGGAAAGACCCCGUGAACCUUUACUAUAGCUUGACACUGAACAUUGAGCCUUGAUGUGUAGGAUAGGUGGGAGGCUUUGAAGCGUGGACGCCAGUCUGCGUGGAGCCAACCUUGAAAUACCACCCUUUAAUGUUUGAUGUUCUAACGUUGGCCCCUGACCGGGGUUGCGGACAGUGUCUGGUGGGUAGUUUGACUGGGGCGGUCUCCUCCCAAAGCGUAACGGAGGAGCACGAAGGUUAGCUAAUCCUGGUCGGACAUCAGGAGGUUAGUGCAAUGGCAUAAGCUAGCUUGACUGCGAGCGUGACGGCGCGAGCAGGUGCGAAAGCAGGUCAUAGUGAUCCGGUGGUUCUGAAUGGAAGGGCCAUCGCUCAACGGAUAAAAGGUACUCCGGGGAUAACAGGCUGAUACCGCCCAAGAGUUCAUAUCGACGGCGGUGUUUGGCACCUCGAUGUCGGCUCAUCACAUCCUGGGGCUGAAGUAGGUCCCAAGGGUAUGGCUGUUCGCCAUUUAAAGUGGUACGCGAGCUGGGUUUAGAACGUCGUGAGACAGUUCGGUCCCUAUCUGCCGUGGGCGCUGGAGAAUUGAGGGGGGCUGCUCCUAGUACGAGAGGACCGGAGUGGACGCAUCACUGGUGUUCGGGUUGUCAUGCCAAUGGCACUGCCCGGUAGCUAAAUGCGGAAGAGAUAAGUGCUGAAAGCAUCUAAGCACGAAACUUGCCCCGAGAUGAGUUCUCCCUGAGACUUUAAGUCUCCUGAAGGAACGUUAAAGACGAUGACGUUGAUAGGCCGGGUGUGUAAGCGCAGCGAUGCGUUGAGCUAACCGGUACUAAUGAACCGUGAGGCUUAACCUU
rnacentral:rRNA from 1 species